rnacentral:lncRNA from 1 species
GGGAGGCUAGGUGGCAUUUUGGGGUGAAAAUUAGGUGAAUUCCGGGGGCAUUUUGGUACCGCUAAAUGCGAGGACAGGGUAGGAGCCGGGGGGAAGCUGUUUUCAGGUAAAGUUCUACCAAAUGGAGCCUAUAGCUUUGCCAUACACACUGCUCUUUAUUUCAUCUGUCAGACAUUGGCCAUAGUUCAGCGAGGAAGCGUGGCAUCAUGUGGAAC